GUGCUCAUUUCAGCAGCACAUAUACUAAACUUGGGAGAGUAAGAGAAGUUUAGUAUGGCCCCUGCGUAAGGAUAUCAUGCAGAUUUGUGAAGUAUUCCAUAUUUUU
rfam:Canis lupus familiaris chromosome 21, whole genome shotgun sequence.